rnacentral:lncRNA from 1 species
GUAAACAUUCCUGCAAGGGAAAGGGAGAAGCUGGGGCCACCACAGUCUUCUGAGCCUUCAGGCUUAGAUCGAUUAAAUGGGGCUGUUUUCUCUAGAGUGUGGGGAGAACAGACUAUUUAUGGAGGCGCUCUCUGGGUAUUAAAACAUUGUUGCGCAAAUUCAAAUGGCUGGGGUUUGGUGUUUCAUCUCAGCUAGCUGUGAGAAACAGACCCUGAAAACAAGCCAGGGAUACAGGGAGAAUGAUCUUCCCUCCCAGUAAAAAAUCACAGGAAGAGGAUGAAGGUGUCUAAAAGAUCACUUAGUGGCGACACUUCAACAAACGGUAAGAAGAAGAAAAUCAUGAAGGAAAAAACAAACAAACAAAAAAGCCACAAAAAGAAAAGAGAAACAUCAGAAGCAAAUGAAAUGCCCAAGAGAGAAAUACAGGGCACAGCCUGACUAUGAGGCAAACAGCAAGUCACAGAAGAAGAAACUCAUGGUGAAGCAAAAUGAGGAAUGUGGGCCCUCAUUGGUUCUUUGUCCCUGCACCCAACCCUCUCCUCCAUCUAAACCUGGGCUCUAAUGCCUCCAUUGGUACCCAGCAGCCUCCUUCCAGGCCCUUUCUCCACACUCUUACCUCAUCAGAUGAGCACCAGUGACUAGGUACGUAUCUGUGUGACCUGCCUAUAUGGAUCUUCUGCUCUCUUGUCUUUGAGAACAGAGGACUGCUUUGCUCUAUCUUCCAUCUGUCCUGAUCCAUUUCAUUUUCGAUGAAGGCUGACUCCUCCCAGACUGCAACCAGUUGAGUUUUCUGUUCUCCUUUAUGCUGAUCUUCCAGAAUCAAUCUAACUAAUGACAGUUGUUCAUCCCUAACCACUUUGCCUGAAUCCUUAUAGAUGGAGCUGCUUGUGUUGUGUACCUAUCUCAGAAGGUAUAUCUUAUCUGUUAGUUGGGUCUGUUAUUUCCUUAAGAAAAAUCUAGUGAAACCACACCAUCGACAUAUAGUAUACAGCCUUCAGUACUCAAAAUUACUAUUUUGGAAAGUAGCAGGUUGCAGCUAUCAAUCCAUAAAGUACUACUUUGAAUAUAAAGAAAUCAGUAUAAUUUUAAAACCAUCUUUAAAAGAAUCAGUGAGGAAUUUAUGAGUCUUGUAAUAGUUCUGUUUUGGGGAUUGAAGCAAAGGAUUCUGAGUAAUAAAAUGAUAGCAAAAAUGGAAGUUGCAGACACAUGAAAAUAUAUUGAAAACAGCUAAGCAUGUCUCUUGCUAGACACAACACAAAAAAUAUACACUUACUUACAAGCUGUUCUUCAGCAGUUAGGUCAUAUUUCUAGCUAAGAAUACCCAGCAGAGAUGAAUAAUAACUGGCAAUCACCUUUCUUUCUCCUACUUAAACUCUUUAUGCUAGAACAGCAACAAAGUCUACUUCAAACUAGCCAUGCAUGUAAUUAUGGGGUGGGCUUGUGUUUCCUCAGUAGCUUCUUUUAGUUUCCUAUCAAGUGAAAGAGUAAAACAAAGUUAAAAUAAACUUGUGCCAAACUAAUUCUUAUAUCAUUUUUUGGGACAAUCAUAUAAUGUUACUCAGGGAAACAACCCACUUUUGGAAUUUUAAUUACAGGUUAAAUAAUUACUGUUUUUGCUUCCAUGAAACAACAGCUCCCCUUACUUUGAACUUUCAUUCUCUGAAAACAGCAGCUGCUCCUACGCCUUCCUUCUCUACUGUGAAUGUAGUCUUGUAGGAAUACUAGUGCUUGAAGAUGUGUUUGUAUUAUUUGUUUAUUUAUGUGUGUAUGUGUGUAAUGCCACGGUGUGUUUGUGUGUGUGUAUGUCCAAGAAGGUGAGAAGGCAUUUGAACCCCUGGUGAGGGAGUUGCAGGAGGUUGUGAGCCCCUUGAUGUGGGGAAUGAGAACUGAACUUAGGUCCUCUGGAAGAGCAGAAAGGGCUCUUAACUGCUAAGCCAUCCUUCUGCAUAGUUGUUUUUUUUUUUUUUAUUCUCACAUUUUAGUGUUUCUGAUCCUAAUAUUGAAUAGAGGAAGUAGCCUGCACUCAAAGUCCAGUAAAUACACUAUGAACUGUUUUUCACUCUCAUUUACUUUCUUUCUAAAAUAUUUGCUUUAAAUUUAUUUUUAUUUUAUGUGUGUGGAUGUUUUGCCUGUACAUACAUGUGUUUCUGUCCUGUGCCUGGUGCCCUGGGAAGCCAGAAGAAGGUAUCUGAUCCCUUGAAACUGAGAGUACAGACUGUUGGGAACUACCAUGCAGACUCUGGAAUCAGAUUCAGGCCCUCUGGAAGAGCAGCCAAUGCUCUUAACCAUUGGGCUAUCUCCUCAGCCCCUUUAUUUUACUUUCAGUCUACCAAUCUAGAAUUUCUUUUUUCAGACAGUAUUAAAGACAUAUUAUAGUCUAGCUGAGAGAAAAAUUUACAGAUUUAUACUGUACACAAGUAUAUAUCUUUGAAGACUUAGGCCUAUUUUUGCCAUUUACCUUAAAUAUAGCAAACAUAAAAUUAUCAUUAAAUACUACUUAAAGCAUAAAUUGUUCUCACUUAGAGUUACAGGAUUAAGAAAGUCAGAGAAAGGCUUAGGUGGCAUGGCCUAGUAAUUCAGUCCUGAGCUCUGUGAAGCUGAAUUUCUCUUACUAGACAGUAAUCACUUUGAUAUUACCACCCAUAUUUACAUAAUGAUCACAGAGUCACUACAGACUCUGGGAUACCACCCUAAUAUGCCCACAGUGACUGCACAGCUGAGAUUAACCAUGAUCAGAAUGUACUGAUUUAGUCUGGACAAAACCAGGAUUUAAAAACAAAAUAGAAAAUAACAACAACAACAACAACAACAGACUGAUAGGCUAUCUCAGCCUGAAACCAGCUACACAGUGUGUUGAAGGGCCAAACACUGGAGAAAUUAGUCACUCGACUGUACUUGGCAUUCUGUGACAUAUGUCUAAACUAUUAGUGGUUAAAAUAAAGUCUAAUCCUAACUUUGUGAUGACUGAAAAAAAUAGUUUAAGUAAAUAAAUAAUAAGUAAAU